rnacentral:lncRNA from 1 species
CUUCGUUACAUUUGUUGUUUUUAUAGUGAUUAAGAUGAUAACACAAUGUUGACUGCUGUACCCCUAUUUUUGACAUUUUUACCUAUUAUGUCUGUUUGUUUUGUUCACGCAUCAGUGACUAUAUAAUGGAAUUUGAUGUGACUGUCAUACAAGUGAGAGGUUUAGCUAGCUAUAAAACCAGGUUCAAUCCACCAUUUUCUACAUUUGAAAAUGCCUGUACCAAGUCAGGAAUAUGACAGUUCUUGUCCAUUCGUUUUUGAUGCGUUUUGUUAUUUGAUUUUGCCAUGUGAUUAUGG